UGUCCCUACAGGUGCGCCUCUGGAAAUUAAAGUUCAACCUUUGACACUCUAAGCACCUUCCCUGGGAGCCUACCUUUGUAUUCUGUCUUUGACGUAAGAACAGGUCCUAUUCAAAUUUGUUUAUGAUGUGGCAGCGUGGCUGGUCACAGGAUACCAGUGUCCUGAGAGCUGGGGGCAUCCCACAGGUAGGGGUGAGGAAUCAGGACCAAGAAAUAGUUAAAGGCAGGAUGUGGGAGGGCUGGGUACAGAUGCUGCAACAAGCACCCCGGGGGCAAGUUAGGAGACAGCAGCCAGAAAAAGAAAAGGAGCAAAGACAGCUGAUGUGGUCAACAGUCCCGUUUCACAGAGGAGGAAACAAAUCCAGAUGUAGCUGGAUAUGCAUGAUCUAAGGGGCAGAACCUUUGAGCAUGGGGCUGCCUCCUGGCCAGCUCAGCAGGAGAGUCUAUCAUGGCUGUAUGGGUGGAGAGAGGGAUGGCUUCUGGGCAGAAAUUUGGCUCCCACUUUCCUCACCUGGCUGGUUGUCCCUUAUUCCAAAGCCCCCAAAGCAACUGGCAUCUCAUCGUUCCCAGCUCCACGGUGGCUGUCCUGCUGCUGCUGGUGCUCACCUUCUUCAUGAUCCUGUACUUGAGGAAAGCCCGAAGAAGCUCCAGGAAAGGUGAGGACAAAUCCCACCACAUCUACAACAACAUCUCAGUCCAGAAGGAACAGACCACCGUGCAUGGGAAGGAUCCCUCAUCAAGGCAGAGGCGAUCUCAGCUUUCCUGGGUAUCUUGUUUGUCAGCGUUGUUUUUUUCAGUUUCCCAGCUUGUGUUUACAUUUAGUUUCUGUUCACUCUGGACCUGGGCUCACUCAUGACUCCUCAUGCUCCUGUUGCCUCAUCUGCAUGCACCCUUUGCCCCACAUUUCCCAAUUUAAAUCCCUUAGGGAAAGAGAGAGAAGUUGACUGCCCUAGUUUUUGCUCUUAAAGCACUAGCUUAAGGGUCAGCUGUUAAUGGGGGCAGGGAGCCCAUUUCAUGGCGUGGCUGCCACCAGUCCAGUCAGCUAGGGGAAAAGGGGUCACAUGGUGGAAACAUGGCUCCCUAGGUGCUCUGUCAUCAGGAGCUGGGGAACAGGCCAUUGCUGUUGGGUAAGUCUGUCUUGUCUAAAGAAUGAAGAUUCUUGAGAUCACAGAAUUGCAGGACUGGAAGGAUCUAAAGUCAUCUGGUUCAACUCUCUGUAAUGCUGGGAUCAACUCUGCAAGUGGCAUCCCUACCAAAUGCUCUUCUAGCUCAAUGCUAUUUGAACUUGAGUGUGCAUGAAAAUCACCUGGAAAACUUGUUCAAACUGAAUUUCCUUGGCCCCAGCCCCAGAGACUGCUUUAACAGAUCUUAGGAAAGUCUGAGAUUUUAUCAAGCUUCCAGGUGAUAUCGAUGCUAUUGGUCCAUGGAUCACACCUGUGUCGUCUUCCAUAGCCUACUCUUAAACUUCUUCAGUGAUGGCGACUCUGCUGACUUUAGCCAUUCUCAGAGGCUCUGCAGCAUCCAUACUCUGUUCCAUGACUUAUCUUUGUCUCUGUCCUCCAUUCUGCUCUGGGCAGCCCCCAGGGGCCACUGACCACUCCCAGCUGUGAUCUGUACAGUGAACACUUGUCUUCUUUGAUUUCUAGGGCUCCAGUCAACAUAUGGGCUCUGAAGAGGACACUGGGGCCAUCUGCUAUGCCUCACUUACCCACCUGAACCACUUUGUGCCUGAGGACUCCAUCUAUGUCAACAUCCAACUCAACCUGAAGCCCAUACCUGACCCCCUUCUGACUGUGGAAUAUGCCGACAUCGCUGGAGCCAGACUCCAGCCCUCCAAGUCAACUGCCCCAGACAGG
ensembl:lncRNA